UAUCACGGCAGUUUCCCAUCAGCGGGGUGCUGGAGCCGGGAUAACUCAGUGGAGGCUCAACACAGCAGCCUAAGCAAGUUAUAGUGAUUUUCAGCUCUUAGUGAUUAUCAGCUCAGUGAUUUCAGCCCUUUAGCUUGCUAGGUGCCACAGCACAGACGCAGGGAAAGAGAGGAGAAGGCCGUGUGAGGUUCCGCAGGAUUCUUUAUUCGGGUGUUCCGUGAAGGUUCCCAAUGACAGCUCUUCUGCCGAACCAGGCAGAAUCAGGGGUUUUUAUACCCUGCAGGGGUUUUGGAAACUGUCCAAUAGUAAGGAUGAGGGGAAAGUGGCCUAUAGGCUUACAGAGAGAUAAGCAGGGUCUGAAAGGUGGAAGAGAGGGGCUGCCAGGGUCCAGUCAUGAUAACUUGGCAUUUCCUAGCUCAGACUUCUGACCUCCAAGGAGGCCUUGCAGGCCCUGGGCCUGCUAAAGGGGAGAGGUGCUGCUGCACUGGGGCAAUUGCAACUAGAGAAGUGAGUGCGAAAAUGUGAGAGAAAGAGCUCUUCAACUUCCAAGAACAGUAGAGUGAAAGGGGAAAAUGUGUUCCAGGCUGCAGCAUGUGGUGAAGACCAUGGUGAGGCAGCUGUGCCCCAACAGUAUGUAGAAGUCCACAGAACACAGGUUCACCUGCUGCACCUGCAGGAUCCUGUGCUGGAGUAGGGGAUUGCCAAAAAAGUGGGAAAUUCAUGCCAGAGCAUGCUUCUGAUCAGACCUAUGGCUUCAUGGAGGGAGCUUUUUGUGCUUGAGUAGGUCUGCUGGCAAAAUCUGUGACCUUGGGAAUAGGACCCAUGCUGGAGUGGCUAAUGAAGAAAUGAUGCCCAUGGGAAGGACUCUUAUUGUGGAAAAUUAGGGAAGAUUGUCUCCCACAGGAGAGAUCCCACAGGGGAAGAGUGUGAGGAGGAAAGACUGGCAGAGCCAAUGUAUGACUGCAACUUUCCUUUCUGCACCACUGGCAAGGAGGAGGUGGAGAAUUUGGGAAUAGGGUUGAGUCUGGGAAGAAGAAAAGGGAGGAAAAAUAAAGAAAUUGCAGAGUGACUUUUUCAUUGACAGCAAAAGACUAAUGAGACAUGGUGAGUGAUCAGCGUGUUAUCACAGUGAGAGACUGUCUCGAUAAUUCCUAGCAUUAGGAAUUAGCCUUGGAAAAGCUUCUUUCUUUGAGGUUGUGUAGUUUGUCAGUGGGAAAGUGAGCUUCUAGCUAAGAUGUUACGAAACAGAAGAUAAAUGAAGAAAGAUCUGGCAUCAUAUAAAGAAUAUAGAAGAUAGCUAGAGAUGUGGAUGAUAUGAGAAGAAAAAGGAGCAUCAAAUGGAAGGAAAAAUUACUGAGAAAUAUUAUAUUCCUAUAUAGACUUAGAGGAUGACAUAGUGCUGCUUAAAUCGCAUUGCACAAGGACCUGGGACACAUGCCUCUACCUAUAAUGAAAAAGAGAGGCAAAAGACAGGACUGAACUGAUGAAAAAUUGUGAAAGCAAAUGAACCAGUAGUAGUGACAGUUUCAGACUUUAUUUGAGAAGCCUGUUGUGAUGUUAAGCCUUAGGAAGCAGGCAAAGUCCACCCAGCUGCUCAUUUACCAUCCCUCCUCUUCAGGACAGGAGAAGAACAUAAGAUGAAAAAAGAUCAUAAGUCAAGGAAAAGGCAGGAAGAUCACUCACUAAUUACUCUUAUUGACAAAAGAGACUUGGUUUGGGGGAGAACAAGUUUAAUUUGUUGCCCAAUAAAAGAGAUUAAAGUAGUGAGAAACAAAUACAAAUACUAAAACAACACCUUUUAUCACCUUUCUCUCAGGCUAAACUUCAGUUUUCAUUCCUGAUUCAGUUUUCAUUCCUGGAAUCAGUUUUCAUUCCUGAUUCUUCUAGGUGCCCGGGGCAAUGCAUUGGAAGGGUAUGUUUGAAGUGGGGAGGUAUGGUCAGGACAGUGAUUUGUCUCUGGUGCAUCUUCCUCUUUUUCCCUCCUCCACUGUGUAAAUCUCUCCACCGCUAUAGGGAAAUAUCUGUGGUGGCAGCUGUAGUAGCUUCUUCCUUUCCCCCUCUGCCCUUAAUAUGCACCUUCAUGUCUCCUACUACUUUUUCCCUUCUGACUAUACAGCAUCCUUGCCUUUUUUGGAAAGCAUUUUCCCCACAAAAUCAUUCCCCAGGUACCAUGACCUUUUCAGCAGGGCACAGCUGUGUCAUGUGGUGGGUCCACAGGAGGUGGCUGUAACCAGCUGGGUCCAGCACAGGACAGCCCCUCAGCCUCUUUCCACAGAGGCCACUCCUGCAGCACUCUCUGCCAGCGCCUGGGCACCUGCAUGGGGUGAAGAGCUGCUCGCUACGGACGGAUGUGGAAAUGCAAGCAGCCUUGCAGCAACAGGGGCUGCAGCAGGAGAAUAUGAUCUUGUGGUGGGAUGACACAGCUCAGUGAAGUAGGACACUCAUGGACUGGGGACCUCCUUUAAAGAGACUAGCCAAGCAGGCUGCCACCUCCUGUAAGUUGUAGGGUUCAAGAGAGAAGUGCUCCAGUGAAAACCCUGGCGUAAACCUAAGAGUAAAAUGGUCUAUUUUUCAACAGUUUAUUCAGACAUCUAAAGCACUGAGCGGCUUAUGCAAUACUUCAUUACUGGUGACUUAUAUUCUUCUUUUUUGAUUGAAUUUAUUUUAUCAGCUCUAAUGCUACAUGUGCAAAAAGGCAGCUGUUCAGGUUGGUUGGUUUUGAGUUUGAAGUUUUUUUGUAGGGGUUGACAGGAGGAAUAGGUGGUUGGUGUUUCUUAAUCUCAUUUCAAAAUAUUUUCCCCUUCCCCUGAGCUGCUUUAUUGAUACCUAAGUAGUUUCAAAAAUGUUUUACUCAAAACUUAGUGAAACAAGCAAUUUUUAUUUACUAAAACCAUACCAGUAUUCUAUAGGUGAAACAUCUAGAUGUCUUUCUUCUAACACGUGUCAAAUAAAAAUUUAUCAAUCUAAGAGUUUAAGACAAUAUUAAUACAUCCUUGGGAACAUGCACUUUCUGUAAUUUUUCCUCUGGUAGCACAUGAAUUUUUUGUUUCCUUUUUUUGUUUGCUUGUUUUGUUGAUUUUUUUUCUGUGUUUUAAGGUAACUGCAAAGUUUGUAUAUUUGCAAAUACUUACAGUUUUAUGUUACCAAUUAGAAAAAACCUUCUUAUAAAUGACAAGAAAUUCUGAAGUCAGAAUGCUUAGCAGCCUUGCAGAAUAAAAUAAAAUAAUAUUCUACUGGCUGUUACCAACUUUCAGUAAAGUACGUAAAUACAGUCAAAUUUCUGGUUUUAUUUGCUUUUUUAGUAACUGUCUGAUUUGUAUAGAACUGUUGUUCAAGAGAACUGCUUAUCCAAAGGAUAAAAAAGUAAAAAUUCACUGCAAGUGUGGGACCAGAACUUGGUUUUAAGCAUGAUAAUUUUACUUCAAACAGUAAAGUCAGUGAGUAUUACUAAUGUGUUUUAGAGAAUGAAAAAAAGAGCAUUCAAUUCUGAACACUAAAUUACUUUCUCUUUUUUUUCUCUUAAUUUAUUUUCAAUUAAUAUAUUCAAAUUUAACUUUAAAUUAAGAGAUUUUUCUGUGUUGAAAUUCUAUGAGCUUUGUAAAGCAUGCCUUUAUAGAAAAUAUUAUUUAGAAGGAAAGAGCACAAAUGACUACAUGGUCUGUAUCUAAAUUGCACAUUUGGUAUUGAUCCAGAUUUUUCAUUAACCAUCUGCAUGCCCAGAAUUAAGUGGGAAUGGCCAAAUGCUUUCUAUAUGUGUCUUCUACUGCAGAAAUGAGAUCAAACAUCCUGAAAAGAGCUGAGAAAAACAGUGAUGGAAUUCUCCUCCAUCAUUUUGGUAUUUUGGUGAUACACUUAAUAUUUUUACAAGACUUUGAGAAGUUUCUGGGAUGAUGCAUACUUCAAACCAGUGAAGAAUCCAUGACAAAUUCCUAGCUUGCUUUUGUCUAAUCUUCAGUGUUUACCUAGCAAAGAUGCCUAGGGGAUAUAGGAGAAGGAAAGCAGAAAGAUGGUGUUUAUGAAUUUAACAAGAUCAGUUUUCUUCCAUGUGCUUCAUUUUUGGAAUAGUUUUCAUGUGAGAGUGUAUCUAUGUGACUAUAUGCAUAUGCACACAAUUGUUCCUAUCAUGUUUUAAUAAACUGUUAUUUCUCUAAGAAAAUAAUGAACUUCGAUUAAGGAAUGUAUAUAAAAACAUAUUAAUAACUAAAUGUCUCAUCCUGAGUAAUAUUAAUAUUUUGCAGACUACAUAUUUAACUUUUUUUUUUUUAUUUCUACAAUAGCUUUUGAGAAGUCAGGUACUAGGACGUGAGAUUUCAUUCCUAGGAAUUUCAGUCUUUCAGCUACUGAAGUUGUUUCAGGUAUAUACAUUUAAAGGAAAAAAAGGAAAAAAAAUAAAGAAAAUGGAGGAAAAAGGAAAAAAUGAAGGAAAAUAAAAGGGAAAGAAAAAGGAAAAUGAAAGGAAAAGGAAAAGGAAAGGAAACGGAAAAGGAAAAGGGAAAGAAAAAGGAAAAUGAAAGGAAAAGGAAAAGGAAAAGGAAAAGGAAAAGGAAAAGGAAAAGGAAAAGGAAAAGGAAAAGGAAAAGGAAAAGGAAAAGGAAAAGGAAAAGGAAAAGGAAAAGGAAAAGGAAAAGGAAAAGGAAAAGGAAAAGGAGAAGGAAAAGGAAAAGGAAAAGGAAAAGUCUCCUAAACACUGAAACUGUUGCUAUGUUACUUUUUUAUACCUUGAAAAUUAGACUAAGUUUGAGUUCUUUUUUUUCCCGCUUCAGUUAAAAAUAGUUGCCAUACUGCCACCUUAUGGCUAAAUACAGAUUUAAAAAGUAAACAUUCCCACCCAGCUUGUCUUUUGAUAUUUUGGCAUUUUUUGUGCUUUCCACUGUGUUAAUAAAAAAUUUAAACUUUUACUCCCUCCAUAAAGCAAAUUAACUUUAAGUUUAAACUGCACCAUCAUUACCUGACUGUUUCUCUCAAACUGUAAGGACAAGAGUACAAGGUAAUGCACCCAUGAGUAUUAACACUAAUCUAUGUUUAGACCCAUGUGAAACUGUAUGGAAGUCUUUGAUCAACAUCUGCUUUCUACUGUGUUCAAGUCUGUAUACUAUACAGGACUUGUGAAUAAAAAAAAAAACAAAACAAACAACUAAAUGGAACCUAAAUCCAUAUGCCGAAAUGGAAUUGUGGCAUACAAUUAACCAACUGUAUGUGCAAGCCAGACAAAUCUUUUGAUUAAGUAAAAUGAAAAGAUAAAUGUAAUACAUUGUACUGUGUGAUAGAAUGUGUAAUUCAAAAAACUCAGGUGUGGGAAAAAUGUCUAGAAGUAAAAUUCUGCAACACUCUGUUAUUUAAACAAUGGAAAAAAAAAACCCACAAUGCCUGACAAAUUCAAAACUGAAAGUAAGCAAUUUACCUUUAUCAAAAGCAUUAAGAACUAUAUCAGGUCAUCCCUAUGUAAAAUAAUAAGAAGCUCAGACAAAUUACCCAAUCUUUUUGCUCUUUAACUUUCAAAAUAAAAUUCUUUCAAAUGAGUUCUUGGCAAUGAAAAGAUCCCAUCUGAAAAAGUGAGAAACCACAAAUGACAGAAGUACACUGAAGAUAGUGAACAACAUGAGCUUUAAUAAGAAAUACUUUGCAGAAAUACAAUGUUUAAUGAAAAAACACCUAAGUGCUGUCUAUAAUUAUAUAUCCAUUUUCUUAACUUAUAUGAUUGAAAAACUUUCAGGCAUCAUAUGUGAUUUUUCACAAUUUCUUCUCUGGAAUUCACUGUUAGUCAAUAUUCUUGAACAUUUGCUUAAAUUGUAUUCCCUUAGAAGAAUCUGUGGCUGAAAUAAUGUAGAAGAAAAUUAAAAAAAAAAAUUAACAGAGAUAAGUGGUGGUUUGGUUUUAGAUAAUUUUUGGGUUUGGGUUUGGGUUUGUUUUUUUUUUUUUCAGUAUUGAUUCA